GGUUAUAGCUCAGUGGUAGAGUGCUUGCCUAACAUGCAUGAGGCACUGGGUUUGAUUCUCAGCACUG
rnacentral:tRNA from 1 species